UUCCUUUGUAUACCCUAACCCUAAUAUUCUCUCUCCUCUGUCGCCUCUCCUGCUCUCCUCCUUCUCUCUAUCUCCUUCUCUCCUUCGUUCUUACUCCCCAACUGAUCUCCUUCUUGUCGCCCUUCGUCCUCUCUCCUCCGUUCCCCUCCUUCGUCCUCCAUCAAAUCCGCACUACACAGCCACAUCACCCAACUUCACCCGAAAAAAAUCCAUUACCCACGAAAUCACCACCACGCCACCACCACACCAGCAACAUCAACAACACCGUCAGAUCUACAUCAUCAACACCAAUUUUCGCUCUUUUUCGCAGUUUUUGGGUUUGAUAUUUCGAGGUAUUAGAUUAUGACUCCACGAAGAAUCAAGAUGUUUGUGU